rnacentral:rRNA from 1 species
GCUCUGGCUGGGCGGUCCGGCCUAACGGUCGGUACUGCUUUUGGCUGGGGUUCACCUUCUGGUGAGCCAGCAUGCUCUUCACUGGGUGUGUUGGGGAACCAGGACUUUUACUUUGAAAAAAUUAGAGUGUUUAAAGCAGGCAUCCGCUUGAAUACAUUAGCAUGGAAUAAUGGAAUAGGACCUUGGUUCUAUUUUGUUGGUUUCUAGGACCUCGGUA